GUCCUCGUAGCUCAGGUGGUAGGGCGUGCGCUGUACAAAAGCGUAGGCUUCUACAUGUGGGUUCGAAUCCCACCGAGGCUA
rnacentral:tRNA from 1 species